AUUGAACGCUGGCGGCAGGCUUAACACAUGCAAGUCGAGCGGUAACAGAGAGAAGCUUGCUUCUCUGCUGACGAGCGGCGGACGGGUGAGUAACGCCUAGGAAUCUGCCUAGUAGUGGGGGAUAACUUGCCGAAAGGUAAGCUAAUACCGCAUACGUCCUACGGGAGAAAGGAGGGGACCUUCGGGCCUUUCGCUAUUAGAUGAGCCUAGGUCGGAUUAGUUAGUUGGUGAGGUAAUGGCUCACCAAGACCGCGAUCCGUAACUGGUCUGAGAGGAUGAUCAGUCACACUGGAACUGAGACACGGUCCAGGCUCCUACGGGAGGCAGCAGUGGGGAAUAUUGGACAAUGGGGGGAACCCUGAUCCAGCCAUGCCGCGUGUGUGAAGAAGGUCUUAGGAUUGUAAAGCACUUUAAGUUGGGAGGAAGAGCAGUUAACUAAUAUUUGACUGUUUUGACGUUACCGACAGAAUAAGCACCGGCUAACUUCGUGUCAGCAGCCGCGGUAA
rnacentral:rRNA from 1 species